GUCAGUGUUUAUGUGUAUCUGUGUGUAUGUAUACCUAUGUGUCAGUUUGUAUGUAUACCUGCUUGUCUGUGUAUAUGUACCUGUGUGUGUAUGAGUGUCAGUAUGUGUAAGUGUGUAUCUGUGUGUGUGGCAAUGCAUACAUCCCAUCUAACAUUGCACACAAAUACAACCCUGCAUUCCAACAUUAACAAUGCACACAAAUACACCACUGCAUGUGUAUCUGUGUUCCUGUGUGUAUCACUGUUUGUGUGAG